rnacentral:lncRNA from 1 species
CCGAACUUCGUCCGGACUUCGUCAGCGCCCGAGGCAUCCGACAACAGUAGACUCGUCAGCAAUCUCGAAAACAUCCGAGCUUCUCCUAGAUCGACGGAAUAGAGAGCCAUUCCGCUCCAUCAGACAUCCUAGCUGAGCUCCAGCUGACAGAUCCGAACUCUCUGGCAAGUCACGACAAUGGCCACAACUCUACUCCACUCU